rnacentral:lncRNA from 1 species
AUGGAUCUUCCUAAAACUCUUUAUGCUUUUAUUUUAUAAGGCUUGUAGCCGAAAUUGCAUGCCUCUCCAAAAGAUAAGAUUAAGAACACAAUCCUUGAUGCAAUGCUAUGUGGUGGAUUCCAAACCCUAGAUCUAUUUACUUUGAUAAAAUUUCAAUUCGUACUCAUAGUUUGAUUUAGUUAAAUCAAGUUAGCAAAUCCUUCUUUUUGAUUUAUUUUUAAAAGAA